rnacentral:tRNA from 1 species
GGUCUCAUAUUGUAACGGUUAGCACUCUGGACUUUGAAUCCAGCGAUCUGAGUUCAAAUCUCGGUGAGACCU